rnacentral:rRNA from 1 species
UACGGAGGGUGCAAGCGUUGUCCGGAAUCACUGGGCGUAAAGGGCGCGUAGGCGGCUCGGUAAGUAGGGGGUGAAAUCCUGCGGCUCAACCGCAGGGCUGCCUUCUAAACUGUCGAGCUCGAGCACGGUAGAGGCAGAUGGAAUUCCCGGUGUAGCGGUGGAAUGCGUAGAGAUCGGGAGGAACACCAGUGGCGAAGGCGGCCUUCUGGACCAGUACUGACGCUCAUGCACGAAAGCGUGGGGAGCAAACAGG